rnacentral:lncRNA from 1 species
CUCGUCUCUUCACUUAUACUCUUGAUUCUUGUCCGAUUCCUAGAUCUUCAUGUGUUAGAGACCUUGGAGUUCUUGUUGAUAGUAAACUUUCCUUCAAUUCUCAUAUGGAUGCUAUUUGCACUAAAGCCUCUAGAAUGUUAGGAUUCAUCACUCGAUCUUCAAGAGACUUCCCUGAUACGCUUUCAUUCAAAAUCUUGUACUGCUCUUUAGUCAGAAGUACACUUGAAUUUUCAUCCUGUGUAUGGAAUCCUUCGUAUGACUAUUUUUCGGGUCGAAUUGAGACAAUCCAACAUAAAGCACUGAGGACCCUGGGAAGAAAGUCGGGAUCGCCAGGGUCCUCAUACAGUGACCUAGAGAGGAGGUUUUCUCUCUGCCCCUGUCUACCAGAAGAGAAAUGUACGAUAUCAUCACCCUUUUCAAUAUCCUCAACUCUUGUAUAAACACUCCCGAACUCUUACAAUCCAUUAAUAUAAACGUCCCAAGCUAUACAACACGCUCUACACUACCCUUUAAACCUCCUUUUGUGCGAAGCAACUAUCUGCAAAAUUCCCCUCUUAUACGUUUCCAGAGAUCUGCCAAUAAUCUUCGAGAUGAGAUCGAUUUCUUUAACACUACAGCCAACUCCAUUAAGUCCUACUACAACACCAAAUUUCUUUAACCUGAUUUUCACUCACUUUUCUUCUUGCUUCUUCUUUCUCGUUCUUACCUUCCUACUUUCUUUUCAUCUUAUUUGUCUACCUCGGCUUCCUACGUCUUCUCC